rnacentral:rRNA from 1 species
GUACCGUGAGGGAAAGGUGAAAAGAACCCUGAAUAAGGGAGUGAAAUAGACCCUGAAACCAUACGCUUACAAGCGGUCGGAGCCCUUUAGGGUGACGGCGUGCCUUUUGCAUAAUGAGCCUACGAGUUACCGUUGCUAGCAAGGUUAAAUGUUUAAGACAUGGAGCCGUAGCGAAAGCGAGUCUGAAUAGGGCGCUAUAGUUAGUAGUGGUAGACGCGAAACCGUGUGAUCUACCCAUGGGCAGGUUGAAGCUGUGGUAACACACAGUGGAGGACCGAACCGGUUGACGUUGAAAAGUCUUCGGAUGACCUGUGGGUAGGGGUGAAAGGCCAAUCAAACUCGGAAAUAGCUCGUACUCCCCGAAAUGCAUUUAGGUGCAGCGUAUUAAUAGUUUUAUAGAGGUAGAGCUACUGAUUGGAUGCGGGGGCUUCACCGCCUACCAAUUCCUGACAAACUCCGAAUGCUAUAAAAUGUUUUAAUGCAGUGAGGGCAUGGGUGCUAAGGUCCAUGUCCGAGAGGGAAAGAACCCGGACCAUCAGCUAAGGUCCCCAAAUAUAUACUAAGUUGAAUAAACGAGGUUUGACUGCCUAGACAGCUAGGAUGUUGGCUUGGAAGCAGCCAUUCAUUUAAAGAGUGCGUAACAGCUCACUAGUCGAGCGGUCGAGCAUGGAUAAUAAUCGGGCAUAAGUAUAUUACCGAAGCUAUGGACUCCAAUGGAGUGGUAGGGGAGCAUUCUAUCUGCGCAGAAUGUGGUCUGCGAGGAUUGCUGGAGCGGAUAGAAAAGAAAAUGUAGGCAUAAGUAACGAUAAUGCGGGCGAGAAACCCGCACACCGAAAGACUAAGGUUUCCUCAGCUAUGCUAAUCAGCUGAGGGUUAGUCGGGGCCUAACGCGAACCCGAAAGGGGUAGUGGAUGGACAACAGAUUAAUAUUUCUGUACCUGCUCACAUUAAAAGUGACGGAGGCGAAAAGUUAGUGCGCACUGACGGAAUAGUGCGUUGAAGGGAGUGGUAACACCCCGAUAGUACAGUAAGGCUACGGCCGCGCUGAUAAUCUAGCAAAUCGACUUCCAAGAAAACCAAGUGAAGCAGCCCGUACCGUAAACCGACACAGGUAGUUGGGAUGAGAAUUCUAAGGUGCUCGAGAGAUUCAUGGCUAAGGAACUAGGCAAAAUAGACCUGUAACUUCGGGAGAAAGGUCGCCACGCUUCGGCGUGGCCGCAGUGAAAAGGUCCAGGCGACUGUUUAUCAAAAACAUAGGGCUUUGCUAAAUCGAAAGAUGAUGUAUAAGGCCUGACACCUGCCCGGUGCUGGAAGGUUAAGAGGAGGGUUUAGCUUCGGCGAAGAUCUGAAUUGAAGCCCCAGUAAACGGCGGCCGUAACAAUAAC